rnacentral:rRNA from 1 species
GGGAUCCGAUUUUAGCAUGGAAUAAUAAAAUAGGACCUUGGUUCUAUUUUGUUGGUUAAACGAGCCGAGGUAAUGAUUAAUAGGGGCAAUCGGGGGCAUUUGUAUUUAAUUGUCAGAGGUGAAAUUCUUGGAUCUAUUAAAGACAAACUAGUGCGAAAGCAUUUGCCAAGGGUGUUCCCAUUAAUCAAGAACGAAAGUUAGGGGAUCGAAGACGAUUAGAUACCGUCGUAGUCUUAACCGUAAACGAUGCCGACUAGGGACCGGGCCUCGUCGAUUGAGACAGGCGCGGAACCUUUCGAGAAAUCAAAGUUAGGCUCCGGGGGGAGUAUGGUCGCAAGGCUGAAACUUAAAGGAAUUGACGGAAGGGCACCACCAGGAGUGGAGCCUGCGGCUUAAUUCGACUCAACACGGGAAACUCACCAGGUCCAGAAAUCUAGA